AUUGAACGCUGGCGGCAUGCCUUACACAUGCAAGUCGAACGGCAGCACGGGAGCUUGCUCCUGGUGGCGAGUGGCGAACGGGUGAGUAAAGCAUCGGAACGUAUCCGGAAGUGGGGGAUAACGUAGCGAAAGUUACGCUAAUACCGCAUAUUCUGUGAGCAGGAAAGAGGGGGGAUCGCAAGACCUCUCGCUUUCGGAGCGGCCGAUGUCGGAUUAGCUAGUUGGUGGGGUAAAGGCUCACCAAGGCAACGAUCCGUAGCGGGUCUGAGAGGAUGAUCCGCCACACUGGAACUGAGACACGGUCCAGACUCCUACGGGAGGCAGCAGUGGGGAAUUUUGGACAAUGGGCGCAAGCCUGAUCCAGCCAUGCCGCGUGAGUGAAGAAGGCCUGGUU
rnacentral:rRNA from 1 species